rnacentral:rRNA from 1 species
UACGUAGGGUGCAAGCGUUAAUCGGAAUUAUUGGGCGUAAAGAGCUCGUAGGCGGUUUGUCGCGUCUGCCGUGAAAGUCCGGGGCUCAACUCCGGAUCUGCGGUGGGUACGGGCAGACUAGAGUGAUGUAGGGGAGACUGGAAUUCCUGGUGUAGCGGUGAAAUGCGCAGAUAUCAGGAGGAACACCGAUGGCGAAGGCAGGUCUCUGGGCAUUAACUGACGCUGAGGCGCGAAGGCUAGGGGAGCGAACGGG